ACUUCGUUCCAUGAUGCCCAGGUUCCCUUCUUUACCCGAGGACUCACAACAGGAGGACUACUACAAUUCCUCUUUUCCUCCAUCAAGCGCUGUAUCUCCAUCUUCACUACUCUUAAUUCCUCCUUAAGCUGCUGGUUAACUAUCCCAUGUGGUGUCCUGAGAGCUUCGAGUCACCUUCAGGAAAAUAUGAGUCACUACUUCCCAAAUCAAAUCAUAGUUUCAACUUUGGCAAUAGUCAGGGUUUAAUGUAUGAAGCAGUUGAAGUCAGGCGCUGCAUUAAGGAAGGUCUGCUGGAGAGUCCAGGGAUGAGCCAUGAAGAAUCGCUCACCAUUGCUGAGAUUAUGGAGCAGAUAAGACGGCAGGUUGGAGUCAAGUAUGAAUAAAAAAGCUGUAAUGCAGCAGUCAUCAAGGCAGCUAUUUUUAAAGUAAAAGAUCCCAGUUGUAUACCAUCUUAGUAUUUAGAAUAUAGCUGUUCUUCAUCAUGACAUUUUAAGAAUUUGGUGUUAUUUGUCAACUUAGCAAUUAAAGAAUGUAAUUAUAAUUUGAUUACUUCAGUCUGAGUGAAGUAUGUAAUUUUUGUAAUUACAUUAGUUUAACAAGUAAUAUGAGUUUUCAUAAGUUUCAUCAUUUAUAUACAGUAUACAAUAUAUUAAUUAUAGCCAAUUUACCACUAAGGUAGUGACCUAAAGUAGGAAAACACACCUCCCUAGAAAUGAAGGGACAUCACAAUUCAGAU